CCUUGGUUCUCUCGCAAUGAUAUUUUGGAAAUCCGGUCAGGCCUGGAAGGGAGCAGCCGUACCAAAGGACUCAUGUGCCGAGAUGUGGCUGGGGCUU
rnacentral:SRP_RNA from 1 species